AUCCAGGUUCUUAUGAUACAUGAUAAGAAAGGCUUAACAUCUCUAUACCAGAUAGUGAAUGUUUCUAACAAGAAUGGCAAAUUCUUAUUGUGAGAGAGAUAAGGGCAUUCAAGUGUUAAUUCAAGAGAAAUACGUAUAUGGUUCUUUAAAUGAUUUAUUUACUAACAGCAUUAAGUAUGGUGUAAAGGAAUUUACAUACCCUAAUUCUCGUCUAUAUAUUUUUUUGGAUUUUAAAAUGACAACUUGUCUAAGUUCCCAUUAGUAUUAAGCCCUAACAUGGGACAGUAUUUACAGCAUAAGAUUUUUGCCACCUAUUUUUAAUUGUAGCGCUGUUUUAUCAAUAAGAUCAAUUAAACAGUUGAACAUUUGAAAAGAAGAAACAUGAAAAUGAAUUUCUAAUUGUACAGUAUUGAAUACAUGAAAGUUCCCUUAAACUUACUCCAGAGUCUCAAUAAACAUGGUAAGUAUGUAAUAAUUCACAUUUACAACCGCCAUAAAAACCCUAUCAACCAAAUUAUUUUAUGACGUCAAAAUUAUCUGAAAAAAAUUGAGGAACUAAAAUUUUUAAAAAUAGGUUCUCAGUUACAGCUGUCUAUUAAAAGGAUAAAUUUUAAACUCUCUGGAGCUGGCCUUCCUGGUUCCAGGAGCAGCCUGUUGGCCUUCUCUCGCAAAGCUCAGUUCCUUUCCUCCAUUCCAGAAGACCCUCAAGCCUGCCCCAUGCACCUGGUUUUACAUUUUUAAAUGUUAAAAGGAAGACCACCGUGAAAGAUUGGCAUGUUAAUAGUAGGCUAAGGCGACAGGUGCUGGGGCUCCAGCUUAGAGAUCCCCACAGAUUCCAUGCUCCCAGGGCUGGCUGCAACCAUCUGCCCCCACCCACCCCCACCUGGCCCAGCCCUCCCCUCCUGGAGGUGGAAUCGUGGCUUGCACAAUCCCCGCUGGGCCCCUGGAGGAGGCGCACCAUAUUGAUUUUUUGGACUUCGUUUCUGUGUGUCUCACCAGUCUUUGCCGGGCACGGUGACUCACUGGCGUCCCUUUCAGGACUUUCUCCUGCCUGAUAACAUCUAAAUGACUCAUGCCGACACCACCUGGAGAGCUCAGGGAAGGCACGGUUUGUUCAGGCCACCCUCACUCCAAGGGCCAGCCCUUUUUUGGAAUAGAAACUAAAAGUUGGUAGCUUCCAUUUGUAGUUCCAUCUAACAGAAGAGCCGACCCACUCACAUUAGCUGGCUCACGACUAAAGCAACCAAUGCCUCCCAGAACAUAGACUCA
rnacentral:lncRNA from 1 species